UGUUACAACUUACAAUUGCAAUCUAUUCCCUCUAAAAAAACCUAUCAAAACAACUUAUCUUCUACUAGCCAAUUUAAGUGUACUACUAGCAAUGAACUCAUAUCCCUAUUACCCUGGUCAAACUGACCACUACAACCACCACCAAGGCGUAGGCGGCGUAUACCAUACCGACAACCACCACAACCAACACACUGUCCCGUAUCACGGCCAUGGUGGAGGCCAUCAUGGCUAUGACAACUACCACGCUGCCGCCGUCCCAUAUUAUGGUGGCCAUGAUGCUAACCAUCAUGGUCAUCAUAACAACCACCACGCCACCCCGUUUUAUGGUCACGGUGCCGGGUUAGGCGGCAUGGCUCAAGGUUUCAUGCACCAUGGAAGUGGACACCAUGGGAUGGGUUACAAGAAGAAGAGCAAGAAACACCAUUUUGGACAUCAUGGUGGUGACAGCAGUGGCAGUGACAGUGAUUAAUAUGGAUGAUCGAGCAAGUAAGCGAAGAGGAAUUGGAAAUCUGAGUACUCCGAUAUAGUCCGAUCCCUAGCUAUCUGAUGCAUGCAUGCAGGAGUUUGUAGUAAAAUAAUAAAUGGCAUAUCACCUGUUUAUGAUCGAUAUGUCUAAUUAAUGAGUUAUGAUGUACUAGUACUACUCUUGUUCUUUGUACUAAAAAUUCUAUAUGAAUGAUGAACUUUUUAUCUAUUAUUAAAUGUUUAA